rnacentral:misc_RNA from 1 species
CGGUUUCCAAUUUCUGGUUUCCAGCGAGAUAAAGUCAAUUUUCAAAAAUGUGUAUCGGUACGCCUCACAGAAUUGUCAUUGCGUGAUCGAUAUCAAGAAUGUAAUUCCAUGGCAACGCAAUAGCAGAGAGAUGAGAGAAUGGUAUGAACAUUAAAAUCGCAUCGAUCACUUGAAUCAUUCGUCAUCGUGUUGGUAUCAAAGAUCGUGUGUCCUUCUAACAAUAAAAAAAUAAGAAGAUGGGAAAUACGGAAAGCAACGUAGCCAGCGGAGUGAAGAAACAGACGGACGCAUCGUCCAUUUUGCUUUACAAAUUAGUCGACUUGAAAGGUGGUGGUCUAUUGGUAGAUAUGAUGAAAAGAGCAACGCAAACUAAACAAUACGCGGAAUUGGACCAUGCCCUGAGAACAAAAGUAGAACCAUAUUUAUAUAACAAGGGUAAAGGUAAAUGGAUCCCGAUCGAGAAAUUGGUUUUGUUGAGAAACAAGGAUCGUCCAAAGCACAAAAUGCUUCCACCGUUGCGGGCUAUGGAGAAUCCGGCCGAUUACGACAUAGAUAAAGAUAUGGGCGAGGAUGAAGUGGACGAGACGAAAAUAGAUAAAAGCAAGUACAGAUUAGUAUGCUGGAGUUUGGGCGAGAGGGGAGCAGUCGGUGAAACGAUUUUACAUUUGUGUAUGCUACACGCAACUGCUAUUCACAUCGAUUUGGCUAAGCGUUUGCUGCGUUUUUAUCCUAAGCUUAUCAACGAUGUGUACAUAAGCGACGAGUAUUACGGCGAGAGCGCAUUACACAUCGCAAUCGUAAACGAAGAUCCGUCGAUGGUAAAAUUCCUUUUGGACAGCGGCGCGGACGUACACGAAAGAUGCAUAGGAAACUUUAUGUGCCCGGAGGAUCAAAAAGCGUCGAGGGCGGACAGUCUUGAUCACGAAUGGGUUUGCGUAACUCCGGAAACUAAUUACAACGGCUACGUUUAUUGGGGCGAGUAUCCUUUAAAUUUUGCCGCGUGUUUGGGACAGGAAGAGUGUUACAGAUUGAUACUCGCAAGAGGAGCUGACCCCGACAAACAAGAUACGAACGGAAACACCGUUUUACAUAUGUUGGUCAUUUACGAAAAAUUGGCCACAUUCGAUAUGGCGUACGAAGUUGGCGCAUCGUUAGCGAUCAGGAAUGCUCAACACUUAACGCCCUUGACAUUGUCGGCGAAAUUGGCAAAGAUCGAAAUGUUUUUUCACAUUUUAAACAUCGAGCGAGAGAUCUAUUGGCAGAUCGGAAGCAUAACGUGCGCAGCUUAUCCCCUCUCGCAAGUCGACACCAUAGAUGUCGACACGGGAAGCAUUAGUCAUAAUUCCGCUCUAAAUCUGGUCGUAUUCGGCGAAAAAGACGAGCACUUGGAACUGAUGGACGGAAUUCUGAUUGAUCUGUUGAACGCCAAGUGGAACACAUUCGUCAAAUUUCGAUUUUAUCGUCAAUUUUUCCUAUUUUGUUUUUACUUUGUCCUGUCGUUGAUCAGUUUCACCCUUCGACCCGGUCCAGCAACGAUAUCAUCCGUUUCCAAUCCCAUUGCUCAGACGCCCCUCACGUCCACCGAAUUGUCGACAAUUUCACCAAUAGUGGAUCCUCCUAUCUCGAACGUUACCAUCAAUCGAACCUCGAAUCCUUUCCUUAAUUCUAAUCUCUUCCUCCUUCUUGAUAAAAUUGUUUCCGCUGCUUUCGUCUCGAACGUGAAAUAUCCUUGGAAUUUGACAAGAACCCGUUUCGAUAAGCUGAAGCUCGUUAUCAUCGAGAAUUUGACAUCCGCUUUGAACGAUAUACUCACGACGAAUCGAUCCAGAAACGAGAUCGAAUUUUUUAACCACUCUUACAAAACAUCCGCAACCGAACAUUUCUACUCUAAAAACGAUACUGGACCGAUCGAUAAUUUGAAAAUCAAUGAAACUAUCCUUUCGAUAAAUUCGACGAUUCUAUUCAACGAUGGGAUAUUUACCAGCAAAUACAACUGGUGGAACAAUCUUACAGAAGAAUGCAGACUAAUGCAUCUAGAUACGUUAUCGGGAAAGAUUAGAUUGACCGCUGAGGUAUUAAUGGAAAUUGCGGCCGCUCUUUAUAUUUUUGCAGCAUUACGAGAAGCCAGAUUUCUAGGUCUUAAUAUGUUUAUUGAAAAUCUAAUGACUGCACCGUCCAGAGUAAUGUUUCUCUUUUCCUGCUGUAUAUUGUUAACCUUCCCAUUUUUAAGAUUGAUUUGCGCCGACCAAGUUGAAGAUAUGCUAGCUGUUGUCGUUAUGUUAACUACGGCACCGUAUUUUUUAUUUUUCUGUAGAGGUUUCAAAACGGUCGGUCCGUUCGUCGUCAUGAUUUACAGAAUGAUCAUGGGCGAUCUGCUCCGUUUCGUCUCCAUUUACUUGGUCUUCGUGAUGGGAUUUUCCCAAGCAUACUAUAUUAUAUUUUUAUCUUUCGAUAAUCCAAAUACACCGGAAGGAGUAGAUGAUUCGAUGAGCAAUCCAAUGCCAUCACCAAUAGAAAGUAUAAUGGCAAUGUUUCUGAUGAGCAUGACAAACUUUGGAGAUUAUUAUGGUGCUUUUGAAAGAACGCAACACGAGAUAGAAGCCAAGUGUACAUGGCGAUCGUUGCUAUAUUAUUGGUAAAUAUGUUAAUUGCUAUGAUGGGAAAUACAUAUCAGAAAAUUGCAGAAACAAGAAAUGAAUGGCAAAGACAAUGGGCACGUAUAGUUUUAGUAGUUGAAAGAGGAGUGAGCCCUGAUGAAAGACUUAAAAAAUUAAUGGAUUAUUCUGAACCAAUGUCUGAUGGUCGAAGAGCAUUAGUACUUCGAUUGAAUCAAUC